rnacentral:misc_RNA from 1 species
AGGCCAUCGUUCUUUGACGUCAAUUUCAUCAGACGAGCGAGACUCGCUGGGACGCGGGUGUCUCACGCGUGCACGAAGGUGAAGCCAGUAUUGUGCCGUCGUCGUCUCCCAAACAUAAGUCAAGCACCCUUCGCGCUCGCGCUUGCGUGUGUCUACUGUCAGUGUAGUAGAAGCAGGAUCAUUCAUAAAGCAAAAGACUGCCCACAGAAGAGGCAGUGGCCAUAGAAUCCGAUCGUACGCACCCCGUGGGUACGCAUAUUGCCGAUAUUCGUAGAAGCACAGACUGUCUCGCGCUCUCUCGGACGCUCUUGUGCCCACUGUAACCCAUCAACGAUCCACGAGAACGUUCCCACUAUCCGUUUCUCGGUUCUCUUUACUCUCUCACGCACCGCUGCAUGCGUGUGCCGCGUGAUUGAACUAGCAUGCCGCUUUCGCCGCUUAUACGUCCUAUGUCCCCGCUGCAGACGCAGUGCGCCCCUUCGCUCCCGGAGCCGUACUCUCUUGCCGACGUCGUUCUCCAGCCCUUUUCCGGGGAGGCGUCGUCGACUCCAGCCGCUGCGUGGGAUCAAGACACAUCCUUCGGUGCGGCGACGGGAGACAUUGCGCCAGGGUCGCGGCGUAGUAGCCCCGCCGCGCCUCUCUCUGGGGUCGAUGCUGCCAGCGUACCGCCCAUGGCCAUGUGGACGCCGGCACUACCACCGCUGCUGCCUCACACGUUGGCGCCUACAUUUCACAGUAUGGUGGGAGAUGCACUGAGUGUCGAGAUGCUGCGAGAAAGCUACGCCGCCCAGCUUCAGAAGGGUUGCCAGCAUCGCUCGGCUGUUGAGGGUUUGCGAUGCACUUCAGAUGGAGCCGCCGCUCGCGCUCGGUCUUGUCGCGGCAGCGACGCAGGUGCCGCAAAAGUGUUUUCUGCCAAUGACGCGGUCCAUCUUGGACAUUCAAGGCGCGCGCCGCUGCCAAGCCUUGCACUGUUUUCCCCUAUCCACCCCUACGCCAGCGGCCCAACGGCGCGCACCAGUGUCGCGCCCAAAACUUCAGCAGAGGAACCAUCAUCUGCUGCAACGUCGUUAUCGCUGCUGCAUUCGGCGGCAACGACGGCGAUGGCGGCGGCACGACCGUCUUAUGGCGCUGCCCUCUUGCGCAAGCACCCGCCUGCCCAGCCGACAGGCUGCAGGGAAGGCUGUCGCUCGCAUCUGCCAGCGCAAAAGCAGGUGCAGCGCUCUUCGUCCCAGUCCCUCUUCGAACGACGUGCUCACGACAGAUGGGAGGUCGUGUCCCCUACGUCGCCGCUCUCGUCCUGCGGCGGUGCCUCGACUGCAGCCGAGAGCGGCGAAACGGCCCCGAGCAAGCCUAACACCGCCGUCCCUUUUACUGCGUCGGCGACAUGCUACCGCAGCACUGCCGCGAGCGACUGCACCGGUCGCUCCCGCGCGAUUUCUAUCGCGGCGCCUCCUGUCGCGGGGAGAGGCGGCGAAGCAGCAGCGGCCAACACGCCCGCUGGCGGCGGUGCGAGAGUCUCGAAUCCCGGAGUGGUUUCUGCACUUGGGCCGGCGAAGGUGGAAGCCUUCGUGGCACCGCCUUGCCACGCCCCUGGCAGUGCCUGUGGUAGCGGGGAGGUCAGGGACACAUUUUUUGACCCUCCACACGGCCUUUCAAGAAAGGCACUCCAAACAAUACAACCAGGGCCGGUCACCGAGCCGGCGCGACAGCCAGCCGCACAGAAGCAAGGGAAGACCGCCAGAGGCACGGCACCGACCACGAGGUCCUCUGGUGGUGCCGCUAGUGGGCCUGCGGCUGGAUCAGCAGCUUCACUGGCUGCCGAGUCCCACCUGCCUCGCUACGUCUAUCCAGCUUUGGAGGAAUGCCGUCGCUUGCUGCACGAGAUCCGCAUCGUCAGCCCGUUGAUGCGUCGCUGCCUCACCCCACCGAGACCCUUGGAGAGCUCCGCUGGUGGCGGCAGCGGUGCUGCCACAGCUGCUGCGGCUUCCUCUACAUUCUCGUCAGCACGCGCACCGUCAAGAAACAUUCCUGCACCGCCACACAGUAGCGCCUUUCCCUCUCUUGCUGCAGCCGCCACCGCCGCUGCCCCACCAAAGCCAGCGACUCUCGCUCCAAAGCCCGAGGCGCGCCGGCUCUACCACUGGGAUGCGGCCACCGCCGCCGAGGACCUCUCAUUCAUGCGUGGGCCGUUCCAGCAGUCCUCGGAGCGCUUCGCCACCUCUGUGGACUGCCAACUGCGGCGCCUAAAAGCUCUCGGGACACGCCUCUAUGGCAAAACCCAUGACACAUCGACCUCUCAGGCCGAGGUGCACGCUCCCGCUAGGGGGAGGUGGUCGUCGCCUUCUCCGGCACCUUUGGCCUCGCCCUGGGACUCUGCAGUGCCCCGUUUUGAUGAUGACCAGUGCGACCGUGAGGACAACAGCGUUGAAGAGUCGCCCCCUGAGCGGCUGCGGCGUCUCUUGUGGGAGACGGAGGCGGCGCUGCCGUCCUUGCUAGAACACGAAGCAGAGCCGUCGCUCUCCGCUACCCGCGCCGCGGUCUUGCUUGCCCCAUUCCCCUCUACAAUCCGCUAUGCUCGCGAUAGCAGGAAUGACUACAGCCACGGCGCCGAUGACGGUGCUGCCACGGGCCGCGCAGCCGGCGUGUUCACGCCGCCGAUGGAGAGCCUGCUUCCCUUCUCAUCCGUCUCCGGCUCUUUGACGCCAGCCCGGCCAGCGAUGCUAUCGUCCCUCUCGUAUGGCGAGUAGGCGAUGCCACAUGCGCAUCUGCGGGGUGUGGUGGAGGAGAGGAGGGCAGGGGUGGCGGCACCGAAAGUGCCGCGAGGCAUACUCUGGAUGAGGAAAACAAAAGCCGCGACACGCUUAGUGAGGACGGCUACUCCCCAACGCCGCCACUUUCGCUCUCUCCCCUACUCCCUCUCUUCAACCCUCCAUCACCAUCACUGCGCCGAAGAGAAAAAAAAUGCGCAACUUUUAGCUGUGCGAGAGACCCGGUGCGCGACAGGGUAGAAACGACAUGAAGGAAAAGACGAGCAGGCAUGCUAGCUUGCGAACCCUCAUUACUGCCCGCGCAUAUCCUGCUUCUUGUCACGCGCCAACAUGCGUCCGC